CCGGAUUCCGAAGCCCGGAGCCGUUUACAGUUUGAGGCGCCGUGUGCCGCCCCCUGGUGGCCGGAGGCCGUUACUGUCGCGGCUGAGGGGGCGUCCCGGUGUAUCCGCAGCGCGCCCUGGCCGCCCUCUGGUGGCCGGAGGCCGUUACUGUCGCGGCUGAGGGGGCGUCCCGGUGUAUCCGCAGCGCGCCCUGGCCGCCCCCUGGUGGCCGGAGGCCGUUACUGUCGCGGCUGAGGGGGCGUCCCGGUGUAUCCGCAGCGCGCCCUGGCCGACCCCUGGUGGCCGGAGGCCGUUACUGUCGCGGCUGAAGGGGCGUGUCCCGGUGUAUCCGCAGCGCGCCCUGGCUGCCCCCUGGUGGCCGGAGGCCGUUACUGUCGCGGCUGAGGGGGCGUCCCGGUGUAUCCGCAGCGCGCCCUGUCCCGCCAUAUACAUUCCGUGCUUUUCAAACACCCGCCGUGGGCUAAGCAUGGGACCCACGUGGGGCGGGGACACACGGCGAUAAAGAGCCAGGCCCUCGCUGCCAAGGAGCUUUCCCGUAACACCGAUGCAUCAAACAAAAGGCAGCAGUGAGGAUGCCAGAGUUCAUGGGUUUCUAGAAGACAAGUUUUCAACUGCAGAUACAAACAUCAGGACGUCAAUGUAUCUGCUAGGAGACACCCGGACAGUGUUGAGAACACAGAACCUGGAGGCUAAACCCCCAGCUUUCUAUGCCAGCUGAGAGUCUGUGGGCACAUUACUCAGCGUCUCUGAACCUCAUGCUCCUCCCCUGUGACAUGUAGAUUGCUAAACCCAUCUCACAGGGCUAUCUUCUGCAUUUAAAGAAUAAAAUAACACAUGAGGGGUCUAUCAAUGAAAAAAAAAAAAAAAAA
rnacentral:lncRNA from 1 species